rnacentral:rRNA from 1 species
UACGGGGGGGGCAAGCGUUGUUCGGAAUUACUGGGCGUAAAGAGCUCGUAGGCGGUUUGUCGCGUCUGCCGUGAAAGUCCGGGGCUCAACUCCGGAUCUGCAGUGGGUACGGGCAGACUAGAGUGCGGUAGGGGAGACUGGAAUUCCUGGUGUAGCGGUGAAAUGCGCAGAUAUCAGGAGGAACACCGGUGGCGAAGGCGGGUCUCUGGGCCGUAACUGACGCUGAGGAGCGAAAGCAUGGGGAGCGAACAGG